AUUUGGAUGGAUUUGAGUCAUUUACAGGUGAAUUUAGGAAUGUUGAGAAAAAAAAAUCACAACUAGACAUGUAUUUGGAGGAGGCUCGACUUGAUAGAAAAGAAGAACUUGACAUUUUACAGUAUUGGAAGGAUAAUCAAGGGAGAUAUCCUCAAUUGUCUCUCAUGGCUCGUGAUAUAUUGAGCAUCCCAAUCACUACCGUUGCCUCAGAAUCAUCUUUUCUUAUUGGGGGUCGGGUUCUAAGUAAAUAUUGAUCUUCAUUACUCUCAUUGAAUGUUGAGGAUUUGCUAUGCACUCGUGAUUGGUUGUUUGAUUUAGAAGAUGAUGAAAACGAGAAUGAUAUCGAGGAAGGACUUGUAGAAGAUAUUGAAUCAUUGUAUCCGACAUAUGAUGAUAGCCACGUUUAGGGUGGAGGAUAUAUUCAAGGUGAUCUGAAACAGUAAAGGGGAUGAAAAAGAUGCCGAUAUUGCAGUUCGUGUCUUUUUUUUUUUGCAGUAGGGAGCUUUUUAAUAUGUAUUAAAAUUCUUUUAACAACUCUAUUAAUAGUAUUUGCUUACAUUAUGGUACAUUAUAUGAUUGAUUAAAUGCCA